UAAGGAAUAUUGGUCAAUGGAGGAAACUCUGAACCAGCCAUGCCGCGUGGAGGAUGAAGGUCCUCUGGAUUGUAAACUUCUUUUAUAUAGGACGAAAAAAGGGUUUUCUAACUCGACUGACGGUACUAUAUGAAUAAGCACCGGCUAACUCCGUGCCAGCAGCCGCGGUAAUACGGAGGGUGCAAGCGUUAUCCGGAUUCACUGGGUUUAAAGGGAGCGUAGGUGGGUUGCCAAGUCCGUGGUGAAAUCUCCGAGCUUAACUCGGAAACUGCCGUGGAUACUGGUAGUCUUGAAUAUUGUGGAGGCUAGCGGAAUAUGUCAUGUAGCGGUGAAAUGCUUAGAUAUGACAUAGAACACCAAUUGCGAAGGCAGCUGGCUACACAUAUAUUGACACUGAGGCUCGAAAGCGUGGGGAUCAAACAGG
rnacentral:rRNA from 1 species